rnacentral:rRNA from 1 species
AUUGAACGCUGGCGGCAUGCCUUACACAUGCAAGUCGAACGGUAACAGGUUAAGCUGCCGCGUGGCGAACGGGUGAGUAAUGUAUCGGAACGUGCCCAGUCGUGGGGGAUAACUGCUCGAAAGAGCAGCUAAUACCGCAUACGACCUGAGGGUGCAAGCGGGGGAUCGCAAGACCUCGCGCGAUUGGAGCGGCCGAUAUCAGAUUAGGUAGUUGGUGAGGUAAAGGCUCACCAAGCCGACGAUCUGUAGCUGGUCUGAGAGGACGACCAGCCACACUGGGACUGAGACACGGCCCAGACUCCUACGGGAGGCAGCAGUGGGGAAUUUUGGACAAUGGGCGCAAGCCUGAUCCAGCCAUGCCGCGUGCGGGAAGAAGGCCUUCGGGUUGUAAACCGCUUUUGUCAGGGAAGAAAAGGUUCUGGCUAAUACCUGGGACUCAUGACGGUACCUGAAGAAUAAGCACCGGCUAACUACGU